AGUUCUCAAGCUAUGCUCCUGAAUUUAUUUCAUAAGCUCUCACAAGCUGGACUUGGAGGCUCCAUGGUAAAAAAUUUAAAAACUGCCGUUGUUACCAACUUCAUAUGAAGAUCCUCCAGGCCUCUCAGCUUCCAUGGAAUCUCACCAAGUUACUGAGGAUCUCACCAAGUUUCUCAGACUAGCCUCAAAAUUGCAAUCCUCGUACCUCAGCCUCCAGAUUCCUGAGACUAGAGGAGUACACCACCAUGUCUGACUACAUGUUUCUAUUUUCAAGCACCCCCGUGGCUAGCAGAGAAUGACUCUCGUUCCCUCCUCCCCGAGCCCGUCUCUCUCCCCAGACCUAUAGUACAACCAGCACUGGACCCAAUGUUCCAGGCCUGAAAAGAGGCUCCCUGCUGCCGAUCAUCCUGCAAAGCUGGUCAAGGCUACGGCAUCUGCUCACUGGAUCUGGUCAGCGCUAGCUGCCAGGAGAUGAUGCCACCCCAGGCUCGAGUCCCCCUGUGGCAGGAGUCUGCUCCACCCACACUGUCACCUCAACUGAGCGCAUCCUGCUCCAUGGUCUCAACAACACACUAGGUACGGGUAGUAUUAGCCAAGGCCUCUGGAAUUGCCUCCUGGACCUUCCACCUAAAUAUCCAGCAACAACCUCAAACUCAGCAUGUUCCAGACCGCCCUUGUCAUCUCCUGGUGCUACCCGGCUCUCCAUCCCAUAAUUUAUUUUUUAUUUUUAAUCGAGGCACAGUGAUUGUACAUAUUCCUGGGUACCAUGUGAUCUGAGUAAAUAGUGAUCAGAUCAG